rnacentral:rRNA from 14 species
GCGGGGAAAGAAGACCCUGUUGAGCUUGACUCUAGUCUGUUACUGUGGAACGACUUGAUGGGUGUAGAAUAUGCGGGAGGCGCGAGCCGACAGUGAAAUACCGCAACCGUCAACGUUGUUUUACUUACUCGGUUGGGCGGAGAGGGAUCUGAUCCCACUUCUGGGUCGAAGCGUGCGCUUGCGCUGCGCGAUCCGCGUCGGGGACACUAACAGGUGGGGAGUUUGGCUGGGGCGGCACGUCUGUUAAAAAAUAACGCAGGCGCCCGAUUUUGAGCUCAAUGAGAACAGAAAUCUCAUGUGGACCAAAAGGGGAAAAGCUCGCUUGAUUUUGAUUUUCAGUACGAAUACAAACCGCGAAAGCGUGGCCUAUCGAUCCUUUAGUCUUUGGGAAUUUCAAGCUAGAGGUGUCAGAAAAGUUACCAC